CACACGACUCCUCGUGAAAGAAGUGCUGCGCUGCUGCUGAGCGCUGCGUUCAGCAUUCCCCCACCGCGCACGCUGCGGGGAAGCGAGUCGGGGCUGGGCGCGCGGCUACGGCGAGCACCGCAAUCCCUGCUCUCCUGCAGACGUCCCACCGGGCCUCAAGCAGAGAUCCCCCCGACCUCACCGCAACUUUUCCUCCCCCGCGCCAGCGGCGUGGAUCCAAGAAAAGGAGAAGCUGGAAAGAGAACGAAAGGGGAAGCGGGGGAAAAAAAAUAAUAAAACCUCAACCAAAAAACCCGGCCCUGAAUCAGGGAUGGCUUCACAGCGCCUCAAGCAAACCCGGCGUGCGGGCUACCGUACGGGACCGGAGCGGCAUCCCCGCGCCGCGCUGCCGGCUGCCCCUAUAUCCCGUAUCCUCGCAUCCGCAUGUCCCUAUAUCUCUACAUCCCUUUACCCCUACAUCCCUAUAUCCCCAUCUCCCUUGUAUCCCUACGUCCCCCCAUCCUUACAUCUCCAUACCCGUGUAUCCCCCUAUCCCUAGAUCCCUACCCCCCCGUAUUCCCACAUCCCUACAUCCCCCUAUCUCUGACCCCAGAACAGUGCCGUGGGACGCCCGGCGGGACAGCAUCCAGGUGCAGCCCGGCCCGGCCUCACUCGGCGGCCGGGGACAUCCCCCGCCCGCAGGGGACACCCCACGAGCUCGGAGCAAGCCCCGGCCUCGCCGGGCACAGGCAGCAAGUCCCGAUGUGGUUAUGCAACGCCGCACCGGCAAUUAGAGCAAAACCUUGAGAGAGAGCUCUAUUUUUUUUUUUUUUUUUUGCAAAGUAGGUCAUUCUUUUUAUUCCUCUCUUCCCAUCAUUUAUUUUUUCUUUCUUUCUUUCUUCUUCUUUUUUUUUUUUUCCUAAGUUCUCCUGAAAAUUAGCCAGACAGAGAUAAGGAGCGUGCCGGAGCUGGGUAGCACUCUCCCUCACUACCCAUCCCUAGGAGCUCGGCCAGGGGACACAGGAGCUGGGCAGGGGAGCACUUCCAAGCCCUGCUUCCCUCUUCCCCUUGCCACCAUACCCGGUGACUAUGAUCCCCACCGCACACGGAUAUUAUCACAGGAAACUGUCACACUCUUCUGCUGAGCGCCUUCACACCGUUCUUUCUCCAGCGGGCAUGACUAAUGUUGAAAGGGUUACUGGUGUGUACUUGAAUUACGGCCACCACCAACAGGUUGGCUGAAGGCAAGGCAGGGUUUUCCCAGCACAUACCUGAGCCUGUUGUGAAACAACGACUUCUCCAAGUCCACGGACCUUCCUCCCAUCCAGCCGCCAAUGGAAAAUAACUGCAUGCUAUCGCUGCUGUGUUUGGUUUGGAAGCCAACCAAGGGACUCCGCUGGGUGCCACGUAUAAGAACAUUGGGGAAAGAGCCCAGUAUUCAGUUUUAAGAAUGAAAUCGUUUUAUAAUCACAAAAUACUGGUAAAUUGCUUCUCAGCCAUCAGGAGCCUGCAAUCUCAAGUCGCAAUCCCUUUGUUUCGACUAGAAUAGGCUGGCCAACCAUGGCAGCCCAGAAAAGAUGCACCAGGGCUACCAAUGGACUGCCACCCACCAGAUGGGUGCCUCCCAAGGUGGGAGCCACAGGGGGAGUGGGAGAUGACAGCAGCUGCCCUCAGGACAUAACUGCUCCAGUGAUCUACACAUGGAGCCUACUUUUGGGUUGGUGGUUGUGUAGAAGGAAAAAGGGCCCCCAAAUAAUCUUCUUCUAAUCAAUGUGAAUGGUGCCACAGUCACUGUGGGAGAGGGGGCAUGGUGGAAAAGAAGAAAGGAGCCUCCAAGAAAAGACCAGUUUACAUAGAAUAGGGUGCUAUUUUCCGAUAUUUAUAAGUAAGAAGGAGAUGAGCAAGGAUUAAUUUGAUUAAUAUUACCCUUGCGUUAAUUAAUGGGCAGGACAGACAGAUGUGGAGAGCUGCUUCCGUGUGUAACGCACUUCUGUAACCAGUUCUUGCAGAGAUUUCUGCAGAGAGAAGCAGCCUUUGGAGGAUGAGCAUUAUUUCCCAUUCUGCAGCUUACAGGUUCCUGGGAGAGGCAUAGUUAUCACCUGGCAGCACGCCCCUGAACCAGGUGCCACAGAGAAAUGGGAGCCAAAUGCACCCUGCCGGUGCUGCCCAGAGUGCUCGAGGAGGAUGUCUGAUAAAACCCCAGCUCUGUGCAGCUAGGAAACCAAGCUGCCUGUUUUCCUGCAUGGUUGUUACAAAAUAAGAGCCAACGUGUUGAUUUGAACUUAGCUUAGCCUGGUUAAUUUUGUAGGAAAAAAUGUAUCUAUUCCAAAGGGUAUUCCUGGAAAGACUUCGCCUUAUGUACAGCCUACUUGAGAGUUUAGUUCUUCAGUUUAUUCAAAAGAAGGUGUGCAGGUUUUCUUUAAGCGGUUAAUGCUAGGAGGAAGCAGGAAGAAGGGC
ensembl:lncRNA